rnacentral:rRNA from 2 species
UACGUAGGGUGCAAGCGUUGUCCGGAUUUAUUGGGCGUAAAGGGCUCGUAGGCGGUUUGUUGCGUCUGGUGUGAAAGCUUACUGCUUAACGGUAGGUUGCGCUGGAUACGGGCAGGCUUGAGUGCAGUAGGGGAGACUGGAAUUCUCGGUGUAACGGUGGAAUGUGUAGAUAUCGGGAAGAACACCUAUGGCGAAGGCAGGUCUCUGGGCUGUUACUGACGCUGAGGAGCGAAAGCGUGGGGAGCGAACAGG